UGCUGACAAAGAAAGAAAUGAAGGAAGAGAACAGAAAGGAAAUGAACGCAAAGAGAAAAUUGUUGAAUCAACAAGGAAAGCAGUUGAAGUUUACAAUUCCAUUAUGUAUUCUCUUUUGAGAAUAUGAAAAAUCAUAAGUUCAAAGAGUUCAGAGAACAACUCAAAUCUUCCAGCAGAUUCUUUGUCGGAUCGAAUAAAGUUAUGCAAGUUUCGUUGGGUCGAUCUGUUUCCGGUGAAAUUAGACCUGGUCUUCAUAAAGUUUCUAAGGUAUUGGUACUCUUGGAGGCGGCGUUUCUGUUGAUAAUAGUGGAAUUCAUGAAAU